GAUGAACGCUGGCGGCGUGCCUAAUACAUGCAAGUCGAGCGAACGGACGAGAAGCUUGCUUCUCUGAUGUUAGCGGCGGACGGGUGAGUAACACGUGGAUAACCUACCUAUAAGACUGGGAUAACUUCGGGAAACCGGAGCUAAUACCGGAUAAUAUUUUGAACCGCAUGGUUCAAAAGUGAAAGACGGUCUUGCUGUCACUUAUAGAUGGAUCCGCGCUGCAUUAGCUAGUUGGUAAGGUAACGGCUUACCAAGGCAACGAUGCAUAGCCGACCUGAGAGGGUGAUCGGCCACACUGGAACUGAGACACGGUCCAGACUCCUACGGGAGGCAGCAGUAGGGAAUCUUCCGCAAUGGGCGAAAGCCUGACGGAGCAACGCCGCGUGAGUGAUGAAGGUCUUCGGAUCGUAAAACUCUGUUAUUAGGGAAGAACAUAUAUGUAAGUAACUGUGCACAUCUUGACGGUACCUAAUCAGAAAGCCACGGCUAACUACGUGCCAGCAGCCGCGGUAAUACGUAGGUGGCAAGCGUUAUCCGGAAUUAUUGGGCGUAAAGCGCGCGUAGGCGGUUUUUUAAGUCUGAUGUGAAAGCCCACGGCUCAACCGUGGAGGGUCAUUGGAAACUGGAAAACUUGAGUGCAGAAGAGGAAAGUGGAAUUCCAUGUGUAGCGGUGAAAUGCGCAGAGAUAUGGAGGAACACCAGUGGCGAAGGCGACUUUCUGGUCUGUAACUGACGCUGAUGUGCGAAAGCGUGGGGAUCAAACAGGAUUAGAUACCCUGGUAGUCCACGCCGUAAACGAUGAGUGCUAAGUGUUAGGGGGUUUCCGCCCCUUAGUGCUGCAGCUAACGCAUUAAGCACUCCGCCUGGGGAGUACGACCGCAAGGUUGAAACUCAAAGGAAUUGACGGGGACCCGCACAAGCGGUGGAGCAUGUGGUUUAAUUCGAAGCAACGCGAAGAACCUUACCAAAUCUUGACAUCCUUUGACAACUCUAGAGAUAGAGCUUUCCCCUUCGGGGGACAAAGUGACAGGUGGUGCAUGGUUGUCGUCAGCUCGUGUCGUGAGAUGUUGGGUUAAGUCCCGCAACGAGCGCAACCCUUAAGCUUAGUUGCCAUCAUUAAGUUGGGCACUCUAAGUUGACUGCCGGUGACAAACCGGAGGAAGGUGGGGAUGACGUCAAAUCAUCAUGCCCCCUAUGAUUUGGGCUACACACGUGCUACAAUGGACAAUACAAAGGGCAGCGAAACCGCGAGGUCAAGCAAAUCCCAUAAAGUUGUUCUCAGUUCGGAUUGUAGUCUGCAACUCGACUACAUGAAGCUGGAAUCGCUAGUAAUCGUAGAUCAGCAUGCUACGGUGAAUACGUUCCCGGGUCU
rnacentral:rRNA from 1 species